rnacentral:lncRNA from 1 species
GUCGAAGCAAAGCUCCCUGGCUGUUAGCCGUUUGGGCCUUUUUAGAUCCAGACGUGUUCAUCCGGCCCCGUGCCUCGUCCACACCCACUUUCCCGCCGCCUGGCUGCCUGAGCACCUGAGACUGCGCACUUUGAAACUACCUCACGACCUCUCUGAUUUUUCAGCACGGGUCUUUUGUGCUUCCUCUUCGCUCUGGCCAGUGCCCAGGAACAGACCCCAUGCCAGGGCCACACAGGCAGGGAGGAAUAAGGCCUGGGCCUAUUCUCAAAGAGCUUGCCUUCCAUUGGAGAGGAACUGACCAGAACGCAGCAACGUCAAAGCAACACGGAUCCCCCGGCCUGAGGCCAGACUUGACGCAGACUCUCAGGGACAACAAGACAAAACCUGUUCUGAACUCGAGACGCUUGUAGCUCCCGGUGGAGCUGGGCAAGCACAUGGUGUGGCAAGUGGCACUGUCCAGGUGAGUGAACUGGCUUCUAAGCGAGGCAGGUGAUGUGCCCCAAGGACGAAGGCUGAUCUGAAGGGGACCAGUUCAGUGGGUGGCUGUUUGAGGUUUUAAAUCAAGGGCAGCAGCUGGACUAAUGGUUUAUCGUGGUUCACAACUCGUGGGAAUUCUAGUCUGGGAGUAUAUUCUGAGUCCACCCAAUUCUUUCACCUUGACAUCGGCAUCUCUCAUCUGGACAAACUCACCAGCCUCCUAGUCAGGCUCCCCACUUCCACCCUUGCCCUCUACAACCCAUGGUCCAUAAGAGUGGCAGCAAGAUCUGUUAGAAUGAGACUCCGAUCACGUGUCAAUUGUAGAAAGAAAGUCGAUGCCUUCCCGUGCUCUCCCAGGCCCUGCCUGACCUGCCCUCUCCAUCCGUUCCUCCAGCCUCAUGUCUGGUCACGCUCCCCCUCCCUCACUAUGUCCCAGGAAGCCUGGCCUCCCCCCUCUUCCUCGAGCCUCCCAGCCCUUUCCUGCCUGUGGCAGAGGGUCUCCAGGAUGGCCACUGCCAACUUCUUCUCUCCCGAAUCCUGAAU